rnacentral:piRNA from 1 species
CUAAGGCAGGAACUGCAGCCUGGC